ACUACGGGUGGCAGCAGUGAGGAAUAUUGGUCAAUGGACGAGAGUCUGAACCAGCCAAGUAGCGUGAAGGAUGACUGCCCUAUGGGUUGUAAACUUCUUUUAUAUGGGAAUAAAAUGUUCCACGUGUGGGCUUUUGUAUGUACCAUAUGAAUAAGGAUAGGCUAACUCCGUGCCAGCAGCCGCGGUAAUACGGAGGGUCCGAGCGUUAUCCGGAUUUAUUGGGUUUAAAGGGAGCGUAGGUGGAUUGUUAAGUCAGUUGUGAAAGUUUGGGGCUCAACCGGAGAAUUGCAGUUGAAACUGGCAGGCUUGAGUACAGUAGAGGUGGGCGGAAUUCGGGGUGUAGCGGUGAAAUGCUUAGAUAUCACGAAGAACUCCGAUUGCGAAGGCAGCUCACUGGACUGCAACUGACACUGAGGCUCGAAAGUGUGGGUAUCAAACAGGAUUAGAUACCCCAGUAGUA
rnacentral:rRNA from 1 species